CCUACGGGUGGCAGCAGUGAGGAAUAUUGGUCAAUGGGCGGAAGCCUGAACCAGCCAAGUCGCGUGAGGGAAUAAGGCCCUACGGGUCGUAAACCUCUUUUGCCGGGGAGCAAGGGCGGGGACGUGUCCCGGCCCGGAGAGUACCCGGAGAAAAAGCAUCGGCUAACUCCGUGCCAGCAGCCGCGGUCAUACGGAGGAAGCGAGCGUUAUCCGGAUUUUGUGGGUUUAAAGGGUGCGUAGGCGGGCUUUUAAGUCAGCGGUAAAAAUUCGGGGCUCAACCCCGUCCGGCCGUUGAAACUGGGGGCCUUGAGUGGGCGAGAAGAAGGCGGAAUGCGUGGUGUAGCGGUGAAAUGCAUAGAUAUCACGCAGAACCCCGAUUGCGAAGGCAGCCUGCCGGGGUGCGACUGACGCUGAGGCUCGAAGGUGCGGGUAUCAAACAGGAUUAGAUACCCCUGUAGUC
rnacentral:rRNA from 1 species